rnacentral:rRNA from 1 species
AUUGAACGCUGGCGGCAGGCCUAACACAUGCAAGUCGAGCGGAUGAAGGGAGCUUGCUCCUGGAUUCAGCGUCGGACGGGUGAGUAAUGCCUAGGAAUCUGCCUGGUAGUGGUGGAUAACGUCCGGAAACGGGCGCUAAUACCGCAUACGUCCUGAUGGAGAAAGUGGGGGAUCUUCGGACCUCACGCUAUCAGAUGAGCCUAGGUCGGAUUAGCUAGUUGGUGGGGUAACGGCCUACUAAGGCGAGGAUCCGUAACUGGUCGGAGAGGAUGAUCAGUCACACUGGAACUGAGACACGGUCAAGACUCCUACGGGAGGCAGCAGUGGGGAAUAUUGGACAAUGGGCGAAAGUCUGAUCCAGCCAUGCCGAGUGUGUGAAGAAGGUCUUCGGAUUGUAAAGCACUUUAAGUUGGGAGGAAGGGCAGUAAGUUAAUACCUUGCUGUUUUGACGUUACCAACAGAAUAAGCACCGGCUAACUUCGUG